GGGCCCGUAGCUCAGCUAGGUAGAGCGGCGGACUAUGGACCCGUAGGUCGGGGGUUCAAAUCCCCCCGGGCCCACCA
rnacentral:tRNA from 1 species